CACCAUGGGGACACAGGAACACAGUGGCCGCAGGGGUCGGUGGGGCCCUUUUGUUCCUGGUCCUGCUCGUGGGUGUCAUUGUGGCCUGGCACCAGUGGCACCGAGUGGCCACCAGGAAGCACC